rnacentral:rRNA from 1 species
CGAACGGGUGAGUAACACGUGGGUAACCUGCCCAUAAGACGGGGGGAUAACGAUCCGGAAACGGGUGCUAAUACCGCAUAGUUUCUUGAUCGCAUGAUCGGAAGGAAAGACGGCCUUUGUGCUGUCGCUUAUGGAUGGACCCGCGGCGUAUUGUUAGUUGGUGAGGUAACGGCUCACCAAGACGAUGAUACGUAGCCGACCUGAGAGGGUGAUCGGCCACAUUGGGACUGAGACACGGCCCAAACUCCUACGGGAGGCAGCAGUAGGGAAUCUUCCGCAAUGGACGAAAGUCUGACGGAGCAACGCCGCGUGAGUGAAGAAAGGUUUUCGGAUCGUAAACUCUGUUGUCAGAGAAGAACAAGUUGGAGAGUAACUGCUCCAGCCUUGACGGUAUCUGACCAGAAGCCACGGCUAACUACGUGCCAGCCGCUGC